rnacentral:rRNA from 1 species
CCUACGGGUGGCAGCAGUGAGGAAUAUUGGUCAAUGGCCGGAAGGCUGAACCAGCCAUGCCGCGUGAAGGUCAGUGCCCUAUGGGCGUUAAACUUCUUUUGUGCGGGAGCAAUAAUGGUCACGUGUGGCCAGACGAGAGUACCGUACGAAUAGGCAUCGGCUAACUCCGUGCCAGCAGCCGCGGUAAUACGGGGGAUGCAAGCGUUAUCCGGAUUUAUUGGGGUUAAAGGGUGCGUAGGCUGUGAGGUAAGUCAGCGGUGAAAUGCCGCCGCUCAACGGGGUGAAGUGCCAUUGAUACUGCCUUGCUGGAGUGCGGAUGACGUGGGAGGAAUGUGUGGUGUAGCGGUGAAAUGCAUAGAUAUCACGCAGAACACCGAUUGCGAAGGCAUCUCACGAAUCCGCGAUUGACGCUGAUGCACGAAAGCGUGGGUAUCAAACAGGAUUAGAUACCCCGGUAGUC